UUUUCUUGCGUUAUGUUUUGUUUGGAUUCUUAGAAAGUGCGAGGAAAAGAAAAUAGUAAAUUUUUUUUAAUGUUAAUUUUACUAAUGUAAUUUGAUUUAUUUAUUGUUUGCGGGCUUGUCUUGAGUCUUGACAUUCGUCAUGGAUAUUGAAUCAAAAUCUUCACUCGUUCAUAGACCAUCAAUUACUUGUCCCCUGUGAUUAUAUGCAAAGGAAAAUAAUUACUUGUCCCUUGUGAUAACAGCAAAG
rnacentral:misc_RNA from 1 species